UACUUACUCCCUCCGUUCGGAAUUACUUGUCCAAGAAAUGAAUGUAUCUAGAUGUAUUUUAGUUGUAGAUACAUCCAUUUUUGUGACAAGUAAUUCCGAACGGAGGGAGUAGAUU
rnacentral:pre_miRNA from 1 species